rnacentral:rRNA from 1 species
CCUACGGGCGGCAGCAGUGGGGAAUAUUGCGCAAUGGGCGAAAGCCUGACGCAGCGACGCCGCGUGUGGGAUGAAGGCCUUCGGAUCGUAAACCUCUGUCAGCAGGGAAGAACGGUCACUUUGCUAAUCAGCAGUGCAUUGACGGUACCUGCACAGGAAGCACCGGCUAACUCCGUGCCAGCAGCCGCGGUAAUACGGAGGGUGCGAGCGUUAAUCGGAAUUACUGGGCGUAAAGCGGUCGUAGGCGGUAUGGCAAGUCCGGGGGGAAAUCCCCGCGCUCAACCUGGGAAAUGCCUUGGAAACUGGCAGACUGGAGUGUGUGAGAGGAUAGUGGAAUUCCAGGUGUAGGAGUGAAAUCCGUAGAUAUCUGGAGGAACAUCAGUGGCGAAGGCGACUAUCUGGCACAUAACUGACGCUGAGGAGCGAAAGCGUGGGUAGCAAACAGGAUUAGAUACCCGAGUAGUC